rnacentral:hammerhead_ribozyme from 1 species
AUCCAGCAGUUGACGAGUCCAAAAAUAGGACGAAACACUCGUCAAACUGGAU